rnacentral:rRNA from 1 species
UACGUAGGGUCCGAGCGUUGUCCGGAAUUAUUGGGCGUAAAGGGCUCGUAGGCGGUCCGUCGCGUCGGGAGUGAAAACUCGGAGCUUAACUCCGAGCCUGCUUCCGAUACGGGCAGACUAGAGGUAGGCAGGGGAGAGCGGAACUCCUGGUGUAGCGGUGGAAUGCGCAGAUAUCGGGAAGAACACCCGUGGCGAAGGCGGUUCUCUGGGACGGUACUGACGCUGAGACGCGAAAGCGUGGGGAGCGAACAGG